GACGAACGCUGGCGGCGUGCUUAACACAUGCAAGUCGAACGCUAAGGCUUGGUGCUUGCGCUGUGUGGGUGAGUCGCGCACGGGUGAGUAAUACGUGAGUCCCCUGCCCUUGACUCUGGGAUCAUCCUGGGACACUGGCUCUUAUCCUGGAUACGACACUCCACCGCAUGGUGGUGUGUAGAAAGGGUUUUGCUGGUUUUGGAUGGGCUCCCGGCCUAUCAGCUUGUUGGUGGGGUACUGGCCUACCAAGGCGACGACGGGUAGCCGGCCUGAGAGGGUGACCGGCCACACUGGGACUGAGAUACGGCCCAGACUCCUACGGGAGGCAGCAGUGGGGAAUAUUGCACAAUGGGCGGAAGCCUGAUGCAGCGACGCCGCGUGAGGGAUGACGGCCUUCGGGUUGUAAACCGCUUUCAGCACGGAAGAAGCGAGAGUGACGGUACGGGCAGAAGAAGCGCCGGCUAACUACGUG
rnacentral:rRNA from 1 species